rnacentral:rRNA from 1 species
UCGUCAGCUCGUGUCGUGAGAUGUGGUUAAGUCCCGCAACGAGCGCAACCCCUAUUGUUAGUUGCCAUCAUUCAGUUGGGCACUCUAGCGAGACUGCCGGUAAUAAACCGGAGGAAGGUGGGGAUGACGUCAAAUCAUCAUGCCCCUUAUGACCUGGGCUACACACGUGCUACAAUGGUUGGUACAACGAGUUGCGAGUCGGUGACGGCGAGCUAAUCUCUUAAAGCCAAUCUCAGUUCGGAUUGUAGGCUGCAACUCGCCUACAUGAAGUCGGAAUCGCUAGUAAUCGCGGAUCAGCACGCCGCGGUGAAUACGUUCCCGGGCCUU